GCUGCUGUAGCUCAGUUGGUAGAGCGCGUCCUUGGUAAGGACGAGGUCACGGGUCCGAGUCCCGUCAGCAGCU
rnacentral:tRNA from 2 species